GGCCGCGUGGCGAAAUGGCAUCGCGUCUGACUACGAAUCAGGAGAUUGCAGGUUCGAGACCUGCCGCGGUCA
rnacentral:tRNA from 1 species